rnacentral:lncRNA from 1 species
AGUAGCCGCGACCCCCUGCCGCCAGCGUGACACACAAGUCUUUAAAAGGCUCUCUGCUCAGGGGAGAGAACUUUCUGACUCCAAGUUCACUGACGUAAGGAGAUUUAAUUUUAAUUUUAUUUUGUAAUCUAGGUAGAUAACUGGGCUACUUCAUGAUAACUGGGCUACUUCGGACUGAAUAAAAGCAGAGAGGUCAGAAAAUAUUCUUCCAAAGCGUUCAAGCUGUGGGCACACACAAUUAUUUACAUUAAAUUUCCACCUGCUAGGAGAGAUACAGGUGGAAGAUGUUCUGAAACCCACUAUAGUAAAGUAUUUCUUCACCAGCCAAAGCCAGUUCUCAGGGAAUUAAACACACACACACCUCAAAACAGCGACUGCCCCCCACCACCCCCGGCCCCUUAAGGAAAAGAAAGAAAAAAAGAAACCACUGACUGGCUCCCAAUGAAGAAAUUUUACCCCAAACAGGGACGGCCGUUAACACUUCAGCGCUGAUAAGGCCAGGUCAUUCGGUCCUCAGUAAUUGGUUGCUUUCUGAAAUGUUGCAGCUUCUUCCUCUGUCUAGAUGGGUCUGAAUGAUAAAACAGCAUUUGCGCACAAAAAAGGUUAUACAAUAAACAUCUAUAGCUUUUUGAAAAGGAGCCAGCGAAGACAAAUGUGCUUUUUCCCACAGGUCAAGCCUCCUGAUUUUGGCACUUGCGUUAAUGGAAACUUUAAUUCUUGGAAGUUCCACGUAUUUUCCAAGACUCGAGCCGAAAGUGUAUGGAGCAUAAACAAUGUAUUCAUUUAAUUAGCCAAAGACCUAAAAUUAGUCUUUAAUGAAGGCAAAUUAAGAACUUUUUUUUUCUCCUUGUGGUUAGAUCUCCUUAACCCCUGUAAGCCCAGGAUCCUAGUUUGUUAGUGGUAGUCCUCCUUUCUACUGUCAUUAAUUUUUGCAGUAAUUUAUGUAGUAUAAUAGUUUUACAAGUCUAUGAAGAAUCAGUUUGUAUAGUCAAUUCCCGCCAUUGUUCUAUUUUACCUUUGACUUUGUACACAUUAUUAUUCAUUAUUUUAGCCUGGGGAACAUUUACUGAACACCUUUGUAAGCUUUUUUUAGGUUUAUGUGUCUAGAGAUAUAUAAAUAUAUGUCAUAGUUGUUGCUUUUAAGAGGCAGACAGUUGUAGUAAGAGAGAUAUUCUCUAAUACAAGCAGGGAUGUGAUUAGAAUAGGAAAGGAAAUUUUAAAAUGUCAUGGGAAUUCAAAUGAGAGAUAUUUAAGAGUAGGAGACUAAGGAAAAAUCCAUGGAUUAUUUGGCAUCUGAUCUAGGCUUUGUAAGCCUAGAUAUAUUUAGGGUAUACAGAAAAGCAGAGAAAAGACAGCCCACGUCAGCAUUGAUGAAGCCAAGUUGGCUACACAGCAGGAUUGGACACUUGAGUUCAGUGCUCCCUGGGCAGGCGCUGUUACCACCUACUCUCAAUACUUAAUGAGAUUUUCAUGUACUCGUCACACCCAUUCCCACCACUCCUGUACCCCCUCCCUUAAACUGGGGACUGCUAGAGGGCAAGGCUGUGACUUGUUCAUCUUUGUAGCAAGGCCCUAGCACCAUUUAAAUUAUAAAUGGGCUCAAAAAAUAUUUUUGAAUCAAUGAAUGAAAAAUACAAAGUUGAAAAAGCAUAUUGGGGCCUUAAAAAAUGCAUAGACAGCCUUAAAUGCUCAACAAAAGAAGCUGAGGAGUCCUCAGUAUGUAGUGGUAAGCCAUGGAAAGAUUUUGAUCAGAAAACUACACAAUAAGAGCCUGUUUUAAGAGGAUUGAUCCAGAAGCAGAGAAUAUAAUGGCUUUAAGGGUUGCAUUUCUUGAGUAUAGUCCCUCUGGGCUCCAAAAUUCUGUAACUGGCAGAAGAGGGUGCUGGAAACUGUUACAUUAAUUAGAGAAGGAAUGAGGUCUUGGGCUAAUAGGUAACAUCAGUGGGCACUAUACAAAUACAUACAAAAGGAAUGUUAUACAGAGUCAAUAUUGGAAAAGGGAAAAGUCAGAGGUGACUGUGAUGUUUAUCAUAGUAACAGAAAAAUAAUAAGAAAAUUGGAAUGAGAAGAGCUGAAGUACUGUGGAGAAUUUAUGAGAAGAUUUGCAACAAAAAAAUCCAUAUCUGAAUUCUCUGAAAAUUCUGUUCUUUUGGUAUAAUACAUAUUUCAGACUCUUUUUUUUCAUUGAGAUGUAUUCUUCCAAAUACGCAAUUUUAAAUCGUUUCAACUUGCUUUCAUAACAGAAUGUCAUAUUUUUAUUAGUCAGUAAUUUAACUUGAUUGAUUCAAAAUCAGGGCACAUAAUAAAGAUCAAAUUUGAAGAAAUUAAUAAGUAAAUGUUUGACAAUAGUAGGCCUAAGAACAAAUAGUAAUCAUUUUAAAUGGUAAAGAAUGUGUGCUAUAAGAAUAUUACAGAUAUAUAUUUUUCUUUGUAUUCCCUUUCUACAUUGUUUCCUUAAGCAGUGUAUGUCUUUGUCCUUCAACUAGUUUUUCUGCACUAAGUGGAAGCUGCAUGAGAGCACAUUGUUUAAUAUCACCACACACCCAGGGUCUCAAAUUGUUCCGAGAUCCCAAGAGUAGGUACUCAAUAAAUACUUGUCAAAUGAAAAGAAGUAGGAAUAGUGUUCAAAACAUGGUAUUUCUCUCUCUUGCAUUUUCUCUCUCAUCUCUCUCUACCCUUCAUGGUUUUGCAACUAUUUCUCAGAACCCACAUAGGAAAUGUGAACUUUUGGAAUUCACUUUGAAGUCUGUUUCUAUAGCUGUCUACAAAAAUUUUCUUAUUCUCACUUUUCUCUUUACUAUAUUGCUCUACCUUUAAAUCAAGCUUGUCCAACACGUGGCCCGCGAGCUGCAUGCAACCCAGGAGAGCUUUGAAUGCUGCCCAACACAAAUUCGUAAACUUUCUUAAAAUUAUGAGAUUUUUUUGUGAUUUUUAGCUUAUCAGCUAUCGUUAGUGUUAUUGUACAUUAUGUGUGACCCAAGACAAUUCUUCUUCCAAUAUGGCCCAGGGAAGCCAAAAGAUUGGACACUCCUGCAAAAUUAUCCAUUUCUCCCUUCUUUAGCAACUUCCCUAACUUCCCUAAUUGCUCUAAGUCAGCAAUACUUAAACUUGUCUGGCAUUUGCUAGCUAAGUUUCUCUUUACAACUUGAUUUUAAGCUUAACUGACAUAUACCUCUAUCCCCCAAAAGUCUUUCUGGACACAUAGUAACUGCUCAAUAAAUAUUUAUUAUUGACUGACCUCUAGCUCUCCCUCAUAUUAUGGUCCAAACAGUGAACAUUUAAAUUUGCCUCUGGCUGAGAAAUUGGCAAAAAAAAAUCAAUUAAUUUUCAAGAGCACAUUUACUACUUAGGGCUUAUUUUAUUCAUCUGCUUAUUCAAUCACUAUAUGCUGUUGUCCACUAAAAGUUAGGUAUAUUUUCUUAACUGUUCAAUAAUUUUCUUAAUUGUUCUUUCAGGAGUGAAGACUAAUUUGCACACUACCAGAGGAUAUCAGUAAUAAGUUUAGAACACAGCUAAUUUUAUUUACUAUUAUAAUUUUCUUGAGUAUGCAGGAAUCCUGUUAGAAUUUACUCAUGUUGCAGAAAUUUAUGCAAUUAAAAAGCAAUUAAAAGAUUUUGGUUCAGUUGUAAGUCAGCAUCUGCCAGGUUCCUUUUAGACCCUAUGAGCAUUUUUCUUUGGGUUUCUGACAUUCUCAUUCUCUUAAGAAACAAAGCUUGUCAAGUGCCUUUAGACAAGUAGAGAAAAUAUUAGGUUGAUGCUUUUCCUAAUUGUCUGCUGCUUUGAUUACCAAAUGCAAAUCAGUGAAGUUUCUGAAAGUACCCUUGAGAGCAAGGGUGAAAUUCUUCCAGUUGUUGACUUUGCCUUUGACAUGACUUGUAGACUUCAAACUCUUGGAUUUCCUGAGCCAUAUUAGACUUAAAAAUUUGGAGGGUCUUCAAAAUGGCAAUGGAAACGAGUCAUGUUAGCUGAACAAAUAAUGGUUGGUCUAUUUGCUUAGUAUGCUGCUUUACUAGUGUCCUCGUAUAAACCACUUUGGAACAUAUUGCUUUGGAAUCAACUUAAUAAAAUUGUUACAUAAACUAGUAAUCAAAACAGCAUGUUAUAAACUUACUUUUUUGGAGUUAUCAUGGAAUGGGAAUGACAGUAUAACUCUUCUCAGUUAUUUGUUCCAGUGAAUUCGGAGAACAUUUCUUUUUGAGAUAUGUAUCUAUUUAUGUGCAGAAAAGCAUCACUCUGUUUUAAAUAAGGUCACCCCAUUUCUUCUUUGCAAGCUCAGCUCCUCAUACUUUAGCAAGCUCACAGGUGUGAAUCAGAAAGGUCAGGAAAGGAGGCACUCACAACAAUAACUACCCUUUGAUUUGCAUCUAGGUGAGCAAAACAACAUCCCUGCUCCAAGGCAUUCUUGGGGAGAAAGCUGUUAGCAAACAAGUAAUACAUUACAUAAUUAUUAAUAGUGGUAAAAUAUAUAAAGAAAAUAAAUUGAGAUAAGGAUCAAAAGUAACUAGGGCCAGAGAUGACAGUUUUAGAUAGGGUUCAAAAAAGACCUCUUUAAAACAGUGACAUUUGAAUAAAGAAUCAACUGUAUGAUCAACUUGGGAAAGAGUGCUUCAGGCAGCCCAAGAGCAAGUGUAAAAGCUUUGAGGCAGGAAAUAGUUUGAUGUGCUUGAAGAACAAUAAGAAAAUCAGUAUAGCAGAUGGAUAAGAGGAAAGGCAGAAGAAGAGCUGGGAAAACUGGGAAGUGCCUUCACUGUUCUCUCCAUUUACCCAAUGAAUAAGGAUUGGGAGUCUGCCAGGUAACUAGGUUAUGAAAAUCACUGACCCUAAUCCUUGAGACAGUUGCAUGAAAAUUAGGUUAUUUUUCUCAUUUUGCACACGAAUUGAUUAGAAUUUAGCAAAAUGACUUUCCAAAGUCACUUACCAAGCAAGUAGAAAGCUAUGACAGACUCAGAACAUCUGAUUCCAAAUCCUGUGCUUUUCUUACUAGACAAUAUCUCAAGGAGAUGAUUGUCCAACUAUGGUCCAGCUGCACGAGAAACACCUGGUAAUAUGAUUUCAUGCCCCACCAGACUUCUAUUGAGCAAGGAUAGAAUAAGAAGUAUGAUCUUUGGCCCAGAAAUUAAAAUAUCUUUAAUGAAAAGGUAUAAACACUUCUAAUAAAAUAAAGCACAUUUAAAAGUUAUCCUGGAGAUUCUCUUGCCCAGCCAGGUAUUAGAACCUCAUAGAAUUAUUUUUAGGGCAAGAUGAGAUAAUAUAAGAUGCUUAGGAUAGUUCCUGGCCUGUGAUAAGUACUUAAUAAAUAUCAACUCAUUAAUAUCUUAGGGCUGGUUUUAGUUUGGUGAUGGUCAAGAAGGUCUCAGAGCAGGCUGUGGGGGUAGGAAGGAAAAGCUACAGCUCACAGAUUUAUUUUAUCAUUUUAUAGACCUGAAUAUUUUUGAGAUCUUACCAACCCUCAGAGUGCUAUUAUAACUAACCAAUACUUGUACUACCGUCUCCUCAACUCUUGAACUUAAUUAAGACACUGGGGACUAAAAAGGAGCCAACCAAGAUACUGGUAAUAAAAUAAGGACUCAGAAAUCAACACAUGUGUUUUACUGUAAUAGUGUUUCCAAGAGAAAAGUAGUUCCUUCCAUCAAAGAAAGAGUACCCAUGCUGAUUAUGUUCUACUGGUAGGCUACAAAAUACUAAUUAUAAAUAAAGCUAGUAGGCCCUCUCCCAAGAGAAGAUGAGAAAUAGUGGCUGUCACUGUUGAUUUUUUUCAGGGCCUGAAAUUAUGCUUUCAUGUUCUCAUGCCAAAGAAAGGUAAGUUCGCGUGAGCCUGGGAUCUGUCCUGCCAUAGGAAUUCUUCACAGGAACUCUUCACAGGAUUUCUGAAACUCAGGGAAAAAGCAAUUCCCAAGGAUCACCUGAUCCAUUGCUAUGCUUUCAUGUCAUUAUGUUUUGCCAAAAUUAGUGACUCACGCAAUGCUUGGAAAGAGAAACCUGACAUUUUCCAGAACUCUCUGUAGAGCAGGUCCUUAUUGCCACCUUUCAAAACUGUCAGCUAUAGAAAGGAUUAUAGAGGUUGAAAGUUUUAAAGUGAUAUUUAGACUUGUUGGGCCCAAUGAAGCCAGGAUAUUUUUUCUGCUGUUAAAUGAUUUUUUUUUAAGGUAAAAAUGUUCUGUGCCAGAAAAACUUUCACCAGGUCAUUUUUUCUAAACAAGUUCACACUGGAAUUACAUGUUUGAGAGUUGUGUCUAAUUUAAAAUGUCAAAUUACCUCAUUUUUUGUUAGAAUUGAUGGGAUAAUAAAAUGAUCUCCUCUUGAAAUUUAUUAUGGAUUUGAAAGUCAAUCUUUCUUUAAAAAAUUGAGAAAUUAUGGGAGAUGCAUGAGCUAUAGUAUAACCUUCCAUUUAAGUUCACAGAGGUUUACAGUCAGAAAGACGAGAUCAGGUGCCAGUUCUGCCAUUUACUUGGUUGAUGACUUUGAAUAACAUACUUAACGACUCUGAGCCUCAAUCUCCUCUUCUGCGAAAUGGACUAACAUCUACCUCUCAGAGUUGUAUAGAUUAAAUGAGUUGAGUAUGUAAAGGAUUUAGCACAGGCCCAGGACACCUAAAACUACAUAUAUAUAUAUAUUUUUUGUUGUUAUUGUUGUUGUUGUUUUCUGAGAUGGAGUCUUGCUCUGUCGCCCAGGCUGGAGUGCAGUGGCGCGAUCUCAACUCACUGCAACCUCUGCCUCCCAGGUUCAAGCAAUUCUCCUGCCUCAGCCUCCCAAGUAGCUGGAAUUAUAGGCACCUGCCACCAAGUCUGGCUAAUUUCUGUAUUUUUUUUUAGUAGAGACGGGGUUUCACCAUGUUGGCCAGGCUGAUCCGCCUGCCUUGUCCUCCUAAAGUGCUGGGAUUACAGGCAUGAGCCACCUCGCCUGGCCCUAAAACAAUAUUUUUAAAAAUAAUUAUAACUUGGAUACAGCAUCCUUAAUAAUUAGGAUGUAAUUCAUUAUUUAUUAUUUUAUUUUUUCUUAGCCUGAAUUUGUUAGUAUUGUUAGAUUAUUGAUAAACAAAAAUGGUGAUAACAGGCAUGCUUUCUCUUCUUAGUGAUUUUAAUAAAAUGCUUCCA